GAUGAAGAACUCAGCGAAAUGCGAUAAGUAGUGUGAAUUGCAGAAUUCAGUGAAUCAUCGAAUCUUUGAACGCACAUUGCGCCCCUUGGUAUUCCAUGGGGCAUGCCUGUUCGAGCGUCAUUUGUACCUUCAAGCUUUGCUUGGUGUUGGGUGUUUGUCCCGAGGGACUCGCCUUAAAGUAAUUGGCAGCCAGUGUUUGGUUUUGAAGCGCAGCACAAGUCGCGAUUCAAGGCUACACGCCCGCUUCCACAAGCCUUUUUUCACUUUUGACCUCGGAUCAGGUAGGGAUACCCGCUGAACUUAAGCAUAUCAAUAAGCGGAGGA
rnacentral:misc_RNA from 1 species